rnacentral:rRNA from 1 species
AUUUUGGACUAUUUGGGAAAGCUUUAUCCAGCCUUCCCGCGUGUUUGAUGAAGGUCUUCGGGUUGUAAUGUACUUGUGGCAGAGAAGAAAAGGCAUCUCCUAAUACGCGAUAUUGCUGACUGUAUCUUCAGAUUCAGCACCGACUCACUACGUCACAUAAGCCGCGGUAAUACGUAGGGUGCAAGCGUUUAUCGGAAUUACUGGGAGUAAAGAGUGUGUAGGCGGUUCGGAAACAAAGAUGUGAAGACCCAGGGCUCAAACUUGGAACUGCAUUUUUAACUGCCGAGAUAGAGUAUGUCAGAGGGGGGUAGAAUUCCACGUGUAGCAGUGAAAGGCGUAGAUAUGUGGAGGAAUACCGAUGGCGAAGGCAGCCCCCUGGGAUAAUACUGACGCUCAGACACGAAAGCGUGGGGAGAAAACAGG